rnacentral:tRNA from 1 species
UGUCCGAUGGUGUAAUUGGCAACACAUUUGUUUUUGGAUCAAAAGAGUCCAGGUUCGAGCCCUGGCCGGACAA